rnacentral:rRNA from 1 species
GAUGAACGCUGGCGGCAUGCCUAAUACAUGCAAGUCGAACGAACAGACGAGGAUCUUGUUCCUCUCAGGUUAGCGGCGGGCGGGAGCGUGACACGUGGAUAAGCACCAUAUAUGACUGGGGUAACUACGAGCACCCAGACUGAGUACCAGAAAAUAAAAUCAACCGCAUGAUGCAAUAGUGAAUGAUGGGUUUGCUGUUAAGUUAAGAUGUAUCCGAGCCGAAUUAGCGAGUUGGUAAGGUGACGGUGUACCAAGGCAACGAUGCGUAGCCGACCUGAGAGGGUGAUCGGCCACACUGGAACUGAGACACGGUCCAGACUCCUACGGGAGGCAGCAGUAGGGACUUUCGGGAAAUGGGCGAAAGCCUGACGCAGCAACGGCGCGUGGGUGAAGAAGGUCUUCGGGUCGGAAAGCUCUGUUAUUAGGGAAGAACAACUGCGUAAGUAACUAUGGACGUCUUGACGGUACCUAAUGAGUAAGCAACGGCUAACUCCGUG